GGGGACGUAGUGUAGUCAGUGUUGUUCAAAACAUGUUUGUGGUUUUGAACGCGACUAGGCAGCACGGCAGGCUCCAGACUUGCUAGUCGUGAGUUCAAAGUGGAGAAACAAUGUUUCUCUAUGGAAAUCUCACCGUCCCCACCA
rnacentral:tRNA from 1 species